UACGUAGGUGACCAGCGUUGUCCGGAUUUACUGGGCGUAAAGAGCGCGCAGGCGGUCGUUCAAGUCGAGUGUGAAAGCCCCCGGCUCAACUGGGGAGGGUCACUCGAUACUGAUCGACUUGAAGGCAGGAGAGGGAAGCGGAAUUCCCGGUGUAGUGGUGAAAUGCGUAGAUAUCGGGAGGAACACCAGUGGCGAAGGCGGCUUCCUGGCCUGUUCUUGACGCUGAGGCGCGAAAGCUAGGGGAACAAACGGG
rnacentral:rRNA from 1 species